CAAGAUACGAAUCGAUGUCUAGGAGGAUAUAUAUAAAUGAAGUCUAUGAAAACCAUUCGACAAUCCAGAAUCGACCCAACCUCUCUGAUUGUAUUCGUGAACGGCCGAUGAGUUGACAAAGAAUACAGUCAUUAUGUUGGCCAAGGUAACGAGAGAAAGUGGAUCUUAAAGAAUUACAGGGAAUUUUAAAAUGCAGAAACGGUGGGCAAGAAAGGAACAGAAACUUUCCAUAGUGACGCGACCCGUAGUGACGACAAGCGAUUUACAAGACAAAAGGCAAAUUAGAGGAGAGAGGUUCAUUGAAGAAAAUACCGAAAUCCGGAAAUCCAUGAACUAUUACCUCUGAGCAAAUGAAGAUAGCAUUGACGUUUAUAAAUAGCUCUACGAAGUGUGUAUGUAGGGAAAAGGGGAGAGAAAGAGGGAGAGAGAGAUAUACACAGAUAGACUGCCAAGAUAAUACACAGAUAAGACAAGACAGAUCGGAGUGAAUAUGCAGUGUGCACAUGACUUUCAAAGGUCAUGGGCACAUUCCCUUUUCCUCCGAAAAUUUAUUGAAAUAAACAUUAAAAAAUGAUAAUAAAGACAAAUAGAUAAAAAGUCAA